rnacentral:rRNA from 1 species
GACGAACGCUGGCGGCGUGCCUAAUACAUGCAAGUCGAGCGGAACUGGGGGAGCUUGCUCCUUCCAGUUUAGCGGCGGACGGGUGAGUAACACGUGGGCAACCUGCCCUGCAGAUCGGGAUAACUCCGGGAAACCGGUGCUAAUACCGAAUAGUUUGGCGCCUCUCCUGAGGCGCUACGGAAAGACGGUUUCGGCUGUCACUGCAGGCUGGGCCCGCGACGCAUUAGCUAGUUGGUGGGGUAACGGCCCACCAAGGCGACGAUGCGUAGCCGACCUGAGAGGGUGACCGGCCACACUGGGACUGAGACACGGCCCAGACUCCUACGGGAGGCAGCAGUAGGGAAUCUUCCGCAAUGGACGCAAGUCUGACGGAGCAACGCCGCGUGAGUGACGAAGGUUUUCGGAUCGUAAAACUCUGUUGUGAGGGAAGAACACGUACCAACUAACUAUUGGUACCUUGACGGUACCUCGCCAGAAAGCCACGGCUAACUACGUGCCAGCCGCCGCCGUAA